ACUCUGAACUUCAGACAAAUGAGGCAACUCAUUCUAAGAAUCAGCUGCCUUUCUGACCUCAGUUAAGUGGAAUGGAAGGAGCUGAAAAAUCUAUGUAAGCCAUGCCUGACUAGGCAGUCCUUAGGAAUGUUGUCAUUAAUGAUCUAUUUUGCACCACCCUGUUCAUUGCUUUUGAAACAAAGUUUCUGGACCAACAGGAAGAAGAAAGUCAGAUGCAUCCUUAAAUCUUAAUUCUACACCAUAAAUUCUCGCCCCCGCGAAAGUCUUACAAACACAGCUACGUUUCUUGAACAGAGGAAAAAACAAGGCUUGCAUUAUGGCAGUGGUAUCAUAUUUUCAAACCUCAGCCGGGAUAAACUGCAUCCAAUUAAGUUGAGAAAAUAUGGCACAGCUGGACGCCUGGAGAUCUGAGCCACGUUCCAAAGAAAAAGUGGGAUAUAAGUCAACUAAUAGCUGAUAACAGUUCCGCCACAUUUCUGGAGAUCGUGGAUUUUUUUGAGUGUUCCCAAGAGCCAAGCAUCUUGGCACUCAAUCUUAGCACAAUUCUACUCAUAAGGCAGAGCUUCAUGAACUUCUCCAAGGGCUAAUCGCUAGAUACUCUUUUGCAACACAAAAAUUAUCAUGUGGAUCCAAGUUAUGCAAGGAGAGAAAAUUGAUCAGAAUGAAUUACUGCUGGUCAAGCUUUGGAGGCCAACGAACCAUAUUUCUCUCCACUCUCAGUGCAAACAACCGCUUUCCAGGAGUGAAGAUCAAUAGGAUUAAAGCAAGAGAGAAAGAGUUAAA